rnacentral:rRNA from 1 species
UUUUGAAAGGUCAGCGGCGGACGGGUGAGUAACACGUGGGCAACCUGCCUGUAAGACUGGGAUAACUUCGGGAAACCGGAGCUAAUACCGGAUAAUAUAAGGAACCUCCUGGUUCUUUAUUGAAAGAUGGUUUCGGCUAUCACUUACAGAUGGGCCCGCGGCGCAUUAGCUAGUUGGUGAGGUAACGGCUCACCAAGGCGACGAUGCGUAGCCGACCUGAGAGGGUGAUCGGCCACACUGGGACUGAGACACGGCCCAGACUCCUACGGGAGGCAGCAGUAGGGAAUCUUCCACAAUGGACGAAAGUCUGAUGGAGCAACGCCGCGUGAGCGAUGAAGGCCUUCGGGUCGUAAAGCUCUGUUGUUAGGGAAGAACAAGUGCGAGAGUAACUGCUCGCACCUUGACGGUACCUAACCAGAAAGCCACGGCUAACUACGUGCCAGCAGCCGCGGUAAUACGUAGGUGGCAAGCGUUGUCCGGAAUUAUUGGGCGUAAAGCGCGCGCAGGUGGUCCUUUAAGUCUGAUGUGAAAGCCCACGGCUCAACCGUGGAGGGUCAUUGGAAACUGGGGGACUUGAGUGCAGAAGAGGAAAGUGGAAU